UGGGGAAUAUUGCGCAAUGGGCGGAAGCCUGACGCAGCGACGCCGCGUGGGGGAUGAAGGCCUUCGGGUUGUAAACCUCUUUCACCACCGACGAAGCUCUGUGUUCGCUUCGGUGAUCUCAGGGUGACGGUAGGUGGGGAAGAAGCGCCGGCUAACUACGUGCCAGCAGCCGCGGUAAUACGUAGGGCGCAAGCGUUGUCCGGAAUUAUUGGGCGUAAAGAGCUCGUAGGCGGUCUGUUGCGUCUGCCGUGAAAUCCCGAGGCUUAACUUCGGGCUUGCGGUGGAUACGGGCGGACUUGAGGUAGGUAGGGGAGAAUGGAAUUCCCGGUGUAGCGGUGAAAUGCGCAGAUAUCGGGAGGAACACCGGUGGCGAAGGCGGUUCUCUGGGCCUUACCUGACGCUGAGGAGCGAAAGCGUGGGGAGCGAAC
rnacentral:rRNA from 1 species